rnacentral:rRNA from 1 species
GACGAACGCUGGCGGCGUGCUUAACACAUGCAAGUCGAGCGGUAAGGCCCUUUCGGGGGUACACGAGCGGCGAACGGGUGAGUAACACGUGGGUGACCUGCCCUUAGCUCUGGGAUAAGCCUGGGAAACUGGGUCUAAUACCGGAUAUGACUCCAUGACGCAUGUUGUGGGGUGGAAAGCCUUGUGCGGCUAGGGAUGGGCCCGCGGCCUAUCAGCUUGUUGGUGGGGUGANGGCCUACCAAGGCGACGACGGGUAGCCGGCCUGAGAGGGCGACCGGCCACACUGGGACUGAGACACGGCCCAGACUCCUACGGGAGGCAGCAGGUGGGGAAUCUUGCGCAAUGGGCGAAAGCCUGACGCAGCGACGCCGCGUGAGGGAUGACGGCCU